rfam:Faecalibaculum rodentium strain Alo17, complete genome.
CGCAGUAACAACGAAUGGCAGGAAGUCAGCCGAGGCCAUAGUAACGAGGAAGUCCCUGUAAUGGGGAUGGAGUGAAGGGC